UACAGAGGUGCCAAGCGUUAGGCGGAAUCACUGGGCUUAAAGCGUGUGUAGGCGGAUUUGUAAGUACCUUGUGAAAUCCCACAGCUCAACUGUGGAACUGCUGGGUAUACUGCUUAUCUUGAGCCACUUAGGGGCUGUCGGAACAAAUGGUGGAGCGGUGAAAUGCGUAGAUAUCAUUUGGAACGCCAACGGUGAAAACAGACAGCUGGGAGUGUGCUGACGCUGAGACACGAAAGCCAGGGGAGCGAACGGG
rnacentral:rRNA from 1 species